rnacentral:rRNA from 1 species
GUGUCAGCCGCCGCGGUAAGACGAAGGUGGCAAGCGUUGUUCGGAAUCACUGGGCUUAAAGAGCACGUAGGCGGAUCUGCAAGCGUCUUGUGAAAGCCCUCGGCUCAACCGAGGAAUUGCUGGGCGGACUGCAGGUCUUGAGGCAGGUAGGGGCGAGUAGAACUCUUGGUGGAGCGGUGGAAUGCGUAGAUAUCAAGAGGAAUGCCGGAGGCGAAGGCGACUCGCUGGGCCUGUCCUGACGCUGAGGUGCGAAAGCCAGGGGAGCAAACGGGAUUAGAAACCCUCGUAGUCC